AUCAUUCAGUGAUAGUGGCGGUGGAUAACAAUGACCUCCUACCAGCUGUGAAUUUCUCGUCUUCCACUAGUACUAGUAAAAGAGAUUGCUGCUGGCUAAGAAUACCCACCGGUGGGGUCUUGAGCCUUGGAGGAGCCUCCCUCGGGGUCAGGAAUCGAGCGGGGACACCGCUGGGCCACUCAGAAGGACCGUUUCCUGGGGACUGAUCAAGAGGAGGGAAGGUCCUAUUACAGCCCAGAGGCCACGUGGGGCCUGAGCCCCAAACCUCAGCUGCUGUUCCAGAUAUGGGAACUGAGGCUGAGACAGAUGAAGUCACUGCCCCUGGUCACACAGCUAGCAAAGCAGCCCCGUAGCUGGGUGGAGCCUCCGGGCCUGACGUGGACCUUCACUGGAGAAGUGACUCAGGGAUCCUCCCAGGAUGUCUGCCUCACCAGACGACCUGAGUACAGGGGGAAGGUUACAGAACAUGACAGUGGAUGAAUGCUUCCAGUCUCGGAACACCGUCCUCCAGGGGCAGCCCUUUGGGG
rnacentral:lncRNA from 1 species